CCAUUACUAGCGCAAACAAAAAGGGACUAAGAGUAGAUCCCUGAUGCAAUCCUGUCAGGACAGUGAAAUGCUCUGAGUCUCCUCCCGCCGUCCUCACCUGGGUUUUCGCUCCCUCAUACAUAUCCUUAAUUACUCUGCUAUAUGCCUGCGGUACUCCACUCACCUCCAAGCAUCUCCAAAGCACCUCCCUGGGGACUUUGUCGUACGCCUUUUCUAGGUCGAUGAACACCAUGUGCAAAUCCUUCUUCCUUUCCCUAUAUUGCUCCACCAACCGCCGUACCAGGUGAAUUGCCUCCGUCGUCGAGCGGCCGGGCAUAAAUCCGAACUGAUUUUCCGAGAUAGACACUAUCCGUCUCAGCCUCACCUCGACCACUCUCUCCCAGAUCUUCAUAGAGUGACUCAGUAACUUAAUCCCCCUAUAGUUGCAGAUCCUUCUUCCUCUCCCUAUACUGCUCCACCAACCUCCGUACCAGGUGGAUUGCCUCCGUCGUCGAGCGGCCAGGCAUAAAUCCGAACUGGUUUUCCGAAAUAGACACUAUCCGUCUCAGCCUCACCUCGACCACUCUCUCCCAGAUCUUCAUAGAGUGACUCAGUAACUUAAUCCCCCUAUAGUUAUCGCAACACUGAAUGUCCCCCCUAUUCUUAUAGAGGGGGAUCAUGGUACUCCACCGCCACGCCUCGGGCAUCUUUGCCGUCCGGAAAAUUUCAUUGAACAAUGCAGUCAACCACCUUACACCAGCCUCUCCAACGAACUUCCAAAACUCCA
rnacentral:lncRNA from 1 species